rnacentral:lncRNA from 1 species
AUGGCGGGAAGGGAGGCAGGUUCACCUGGUGAAUUGAUUGCAGGGCACACGGAUCAGGUGAAAAGCCAAUGGGCAGCAAGUGAAGUUGCUGCUGUGAUCUCCUUCCAGUCGACCGUCCCUCCUCAGCAGAGACCAGACCUGCCCCUCGUCUCCCAGCCCUGCGCCUGGUGUGUGUUUUGUCAACACUUCAGUGGAACAAGAAAGGACCAAGCCUGCAAGAACCAAGACUCAUCCCAACCUCGGGCACUGCUUCCUGCUGAAACGCCUAGGAGGCUGCACUCUCAAAAAAGAGAGUUCAGCUAGAGACCCCAGCACCAGGGGACCUGGAGGCCAGGCCCUACAGAUGUUACACUCAGACCUGUUAGCAUGAACGUCCUCUCAUAGUGAGGGCUAAACCACGAUUCCCCAGAAGAAACUUACCUGAUGGUCUGGGCCUCCUGGAAGAAAUCAUCUGGCAUGGAGCCCUCCUUGAUCAUCUUAACAGAACAUCAUACUGCCCCUCCCACCUGCCCAGAGAGACUACUUCAAACUGGUCACUUCCCAGCUGCUUCAACACGAUAAUCUCUUCACUUUGCAGUUCUCAGAUUCCUAAUAAUGCAAGACAGGAGCACCUUGGGUUGAGAAUAGAAGGCUUUGGGGCUAACAGCUUCACAAGUGACUUCCUCUCCAAUGAGAAAUUUAACAUUGACAAGAUGAAGUAUAGCAUGACUUUUUUUUUAAUUGUUCAUUUAAAAAGAAAACCCUUGGUAAUGUGAUCUUAGGACCUAUUAGACCACAUGAUAUUGCUACCAGGACAAUACUGUUCUGAAAUAGCUACAAUUAGUGAUAAGAAAGGUUAAAGUCAAAAAAACCUUUGCCAACUAGAGGCAUCUUGGAAAAACUUGGUGACAAAAUGUGCUGAGUGCCCUUAGCUUGGUAAGGUUUAAUGCUAGUUAGAUUAGUUGGCUUGACUUGACUAAUGAGUUCCUGGAAGGCAAAAAUUACAAGAGUAAAGCUACUUUAAGUGAUUUUUAAAAUUCUCAUCAAAAUUAGUUUCUUGAUGGAAUCUGCUAUUUUUAAAAAUUUCACAUUUUUAUUUUGCUUAUUUUUUACUCUUUUUGAUUACUUUAUUGUUUGUGUAGAUAGCCAUCAACAAUUUUUUAAGUUGAAGUACAGUGUAUUUACAAUACUAUAUUAGUUUGGAGUAUACAACAUAGUGAUUCACUAUUUUUAUGGAUUAUGCUCCAUUUAAAGGUAUUAUAAAUAAAGACUGUAUUUCCUUGUGCUGUAUAAUAUAU